rnacentral:rRNA from 1 species
AGAGUUUGAUCAUGGCUCAGGAUGAACGCUAGCUACAGGCUUAACACAUGCAAGUCGAGGGGAAACGACAUCGAAAGCUUGCUUUUGAUGGGCGUCGACCGGCGCACGGGUGAGUAACGCGUAUCCAACCUGCCCACCACUUGGGGAUAACCUUGCGAAAGUAAGACUAAUACCCAAUGAUAUCUCUAGAAGACAUCUGAAAGAGAUUAAAGAUUUAUCGGUGAUGGAUGGGGAUGCGUCUGAUUAGCUUGUUGGCGGGGUAACGGCCACAGGCUACGAUCAGUAGGGGUUCUGAGAGGAAGGUCCCCCANAUUGGAACUGAGACACGGUCCAAACUCCUAACGGGAAGCA